rnacentral:rRNA from 1 species
AGUCGAGGGGCAGCAUGAUUGAAGCUUGCUUCAAUUGAUGGCGACCGGCGCACGGGUGAGUAACGCGUAUCCAACCUUCCGUACACUCAGGGAUAGCCUUUCGAAAGAAAGAUUAAUACCCGAUGGUAUGAUGAGAUUGCAUGAUAGCAUCAUUAAAGAUUUAUCGGUGUACGAUGGGGAUGCGUUCCAUUAGGUAGUAGGCGGGGUAACGGCCCACCUAGCCGACGAUGGAUAGGGGUUCUGAGAGGAAGGUCCCCCACAUUGGAACUGAGACACGGUCCAAACUCCUACGGGAGGCAGCAGUGAGGAAUAUUGGUCAAUGGACGAGAGUCUGAACCAGCCAAGUAGCGUGAAGGAUGAAGGUCCUACGGAUUGUAAACUUCUUUUAUAAGGGAAUAAAACCUCCCACGUGUGGGAGCUUGUAUGUACCUUAUGAAUAAGCAUCGGCUAACUCCGUGCCAGCAGCCGCGGUAAUACGGAGGAUGCGAGCGUUAUCCGGAUUUAUUGGGUUUAAAGGGAGCGCAGACGGAUCGUUAAGUCAGCUGUGAAAGUUUGGGGCUCAACCUUAAAAUUGCAGUUGAUACUGGCGUCCUUGAGUGCGGUUGAGGUGUGCGGAAUUCGUGGUGUAGCGGUGAAAUGCUUAGAUAUCACGAAGAACUCCGAUUGCGAAGGCAGCACACUAAGCCGUAACUGACGUUCAUGCUCGAAAGUGUGGGUAUCAAACAGGAUUAGAUACCCUGGUAGUCCACACGGUAAACGAUGGAUACUCGCUGUUGGCGAUAUACAGUCAGCGGCUUAGCGAAAGCGUUAAGUAUCCCACCUGGGG